rnacentral:rRNA from 1 species
UCCAAUAACACAACAAAACCCUCACCCAGUACUGAAUGAUUCCAUACUGAUAUGGAAAACCAUAUGCUAGAACUAGUAACAAGAAGAAGAACUUCUCUAAAAUGCAAGUGUAAACCGAAAUGAACAAUUCACCGGUAUUUACCGCCAAUGAACACGCAGUAGCAACACACACAAGAAAAUCCUACUCACCUGGACGUUAACCUUACACUAGAGCAUUUCUAGAAAGAUUAAAAAAUAGGGAAGGAACUCGGCAAAUUAUUAACCCCGCCUGUUUACCAAAAACAUCGCCUCCCGACAAAAUAUGAGAGGUCCAGCCUGCCCAGUGACAAAGUUAAACGGCCGCGGUACCCUAACCGUGCGAAGGUAGCGCAAUCACUUGUUCUUUAAAUGAGGACUAGUAUGAACGGCAUCACGAGGGUUAUACUGUCUCCCCCAUUCAAUCAGUGAAACUGACCUCCCCGUGAAGAGGCGGGGAUAAAAUUAUAAGACGAGAAGACCCCAUGGAGCUUUAAACUCAACACCAACUAUUCUACCAAAUAUCAUACAAGCUGAAUAGACCUGGCUGUUAGUUUUCGGUUGGGGUGACCGCGGAGUAAAACAAAACCUCCACGAUGAAAGGACCAAACCUCCUAAUCAUAGAGCGACAGCUCAAAGAAUCAAUAAAUUGACAAAAAUUGAUCCAAUUCAAUUUGAUCAACGAACCAAGUUACCCUGGGGAUAACAGCGCAAUCCACUUCAAGAGCCCCUAUCGACAAGUGGGUUUACGACCUCGAUGUUGGAUCAGGGUAUCCCAGUGGUGCAGCCGCUACUAACGGUUC